GUUUCAGCUGACUGUAGAUCUGUCAUAAGAAGCCAUGAAGACAGAACAAAGUGGUGUGACGUUUUAAAAGUCACUAUAAAUUUCUCAUGAAAAACUAUGAAGCCAGAAAGAAGUGGCAUGACAUUUUUUAAGUGCUGAAAGCAAAGGAAUAUUAACCCACAACUCUAUAUUCAGGAAAAUAUGCAUGACAAAUGAAGGAGAAAUAAAGAUAUUCUCAGAAGAAGGAAAACUAAGAGAAUUCUUAACCAGCAGACCUCCUUGAGAAGAACUUCUAAACAUUUCUUCUAAACAGACAGAAGAUGGCCUAUGUCUGGUUCCUUCAACAGAAGAAGGAAGAAGAGGAAUUUGGGAAAUGAGAACAAGUGCUCAGAGAUUUCCAAAAAAUUAUUCCUGGAGGCCUGAAUCAGGAUUUUUUUUUUUUUAACUCAUGCCAGCUGUUUGGUGGUUAUGAGUGAUUUGGGUCAGGCCAGUUUAAUUUCCAUCAUGCCAGGCCCCGAGACUGAAUUUCUGGUAUCACCUGGACUCUCUGUCUUCCCUAACCUUAACUUGGAAAAUGUCUGAUUCUAACCAUUCUAACAACACUGUGUAGUGUUAUGUCCUAAAUAACCCCUGAGAGACUAUUUUGACCUGGUUCUGUCUUCAUGAGACUAGCCCAUGUGGAUGAGAAUGAAUGUAUUUGAGGAAGAGAGGAUGGUCAUUGAAAACCUAAAUGAACUCAUUUUCUAACUUGCCUGGAAGUCACCAGCAUUUUUCAUUUAUUUGGAGAUUGUUUUCAAGGGGACAUUCUCACGCUAACCAAGUCUAAGGACACCUACAGAAUCUGAACUUUCAAUCUGCAGCAUGUCCAUCAUCAUCAGAUGAUGAACUGUGUGUGUUGGCACAUUGUGGGAGGAGGUACAUGGGCAGGAAACAUUAAUAACAGUUUGUGCUGUGAGCUCAAGAAAAUCACUGGUCUGACAUCAUCGCUAAAUAUUGGAGGGUCUUAGGAGUCUCUAGAUCCCUGGAUCCCUCUUGGGAGUGAGGAUCACGGACUUCCUCUUCAGUGAAUGGAAAUCUUACAACAAGUUCGCAUCAACAUCUUUGAGCCAUUUCCUUCAGAGAAAUCAACUGCUUUUCAGAGGACUUUCUCUCUGUGAAUAUUCUCUUUCUUCCCACGUCCCACUGCCUCCAACCCUUCAACUGAAAGAGAAAAAGCAAAGGCAGCAAGACAAGUGUGAAUCUUGAAGGUACGUUGGAUGGAAAGCACAUACACAGGGAGCAA
rnacentral:lncRNA from 10 species